UGGGGAAUAUUGGACAAUGGGCGAAAGCCUGAUCCAGCCAUGCCGCGUGUGUGAAGAAGGUCUUCGGAUUGUAAAGCACUUUAAGUUGGGAGGAAGGGCAUUAACCUAAUACGUUAGUGUUUUGACGUUACCGACAGAAUAAGCACCGGCUAACUCUGUGCCAGCAGCCGCGGUAAUACUGAGGGUGCAAGCGUUAAUAGGAAUUACUGGGCGUAAAGCGCGCGUAGGUGGUUUGUUAAGUUGGAUGUGAAAUCCCCGGGCUCAACCUGGGAACUGCAUUCAAAACUGACUGACUAGAGUAUGGUAGAGGGUGGUGGAAUUUCCUGUGUAGCGGUGAAAUGCGUAGAUAUAGGAAGGAACACCAGUGGCGAAGGCGACCACCUGGACUAAUACUGACACUGAGGUGCGAAAGCGUGGGGAGCAAACA
rnacentral:rRNA from 1 species